UACGAAGGGGGCUAGCGUUGCUCGGAAUCACUGGGCGUAAAGCGCACGUAGGCGGGUCUUUAAGUCAGGGGUGAAAUCCUGGAGCUCAACUCCAGAACUGCCUUUGAUACUGAAGAUCUUGAGUCCGGGAGAGGUGAGUGGAACUGCGAGUGUAGAGGUGAAAUUCGUAGAUAUUCGCAAGAACACCAGUGGCGAAGGCGGCUCACUGGCCCGGAACUGACGCUGAGAUGCGAAAGCGUGGGGAGCAAACAGG
rnacentral:rRNA from 1 species